GACGAACGCUGGCGGCGUGCUUAACACAUGCAAGUCGAACGGUGAAGCGCCUUCCUUUUUGGUGGGUGUGGAUGAGUGGCGAACGGGUGAGUAACACGUGAGUAACCUGCCCCCUUCUUCUGGAUAACCGCAUGUAAGUGUGGCUAAUACGGGAUAUUCUGGGUCUGUCGCAUGAUGGGUCUGUGAGAGAUAUUGUUUCGGUGGGGGAUGGGCUCGCGGCCUAUCAGCUUGUUGGUGGGGGGAUGGCCUACCAAGGCGGUGACGGGUAGCCGGCCUGAGAGGGUGGACGGCCAUACUGGGACUGCGACACGGCGCAGACUCCUAGGGGCGGCAGCAGUGGAGAAUAUUGCACGAUGGGAGCAAGCCUGAUGCAGCGACGCCGCGUGAGGGAUGGAGGCCGUCGGGUUGUGAACCUCUUUCGCCAGUGAAGCAGGCCUGCCUCGUUUGUGGGUGGGUUGACGGUAGCUGGAUAAGAAGCGCCGGCUAACUACGUG
rnacentral:rRNA from 1 species